GUGUCAGUUGAAGCUAAUUUAAGGUGAAACCGCGAAAGGCUCAUUAAAUCAGUUAUGGUUCACUAGAGCAAAAGUACCUUCGGGUAACUUGGAAUAACUGUGGUAAUUCUAGAGCUAAUACAUGCAAAAAAGUCCCGACCUCUAUGGUAAGGACGCUUUUAUUAGAUCAAAACUAAACGGUUUUUAACCGCCUUUUCUGAUGACUCUGAAUAACACCGCUGAUCGUAUGGCCUUGCGCCGACGACUCUUCUUUCAAAUGCCUGACUUAUCAACUGUCGAUGGUAGAUUCUACGCCUACCAUGGUUGUUACGGGUGACGGGGAAUCAGGGUUCGAUUCCGGAGAGGGAGCCUGAGAAACGGCUACCACAUCCAAGGAAGGCAGCAGGCGCGCAAAUUACCCACUCCCGGCACGGGGAGGUAGUGACAAAAAAUACCGAUGCAGGACUCAUCCGAGGCUCUGUAAUCGGAAUGAGUACACUUUAAAUCCUUUAGCAAGGAUCCAUUGGAGGGCAAGUCUUGUGCCAGCAGCCGCGGUAAUUCCAGCUCCAAUAGCGUAUAUUAAAGUUGUUGCGGUUAAAAAGCUCGUAGUUGGUUCUGUGUCACUCUUGUCCGGUAUGCUUACUGAUGGCAUGACUGGAAUUGUUAGGGUGAUGUCCCAUCGGUGGCUUGUGUGAUUACUAUUGGUUAAGGUUUACCGAUACCUUUAGUGUCCAUUUGCCGAAUUAAUCCUGCUUCGGUGCUCUUUAUCGAGUGUCGUGGUAGGCCGAUACGUUUACUUUGAACAAAUUAGAGUGCUCAAAGCAGGCUUAUAUCUGCCUGAAUAGUGGUGCAUGGAAUAAUGGAAUAGGACUUCGGUUCUAUUUUGUUGGUUUUCGGAAUCCGAGGUAAUGAUCAAUGUGGACAGUCGGGGGCAUCCGUAUUGCGACGUAGAGGUGAAAUUCUUGGAUCGUCGCAAGACGACUAAGGAGUUAGCAUUUGCCAAGUAUGUCCUAGUUGAUCAAGAACGAAAGUUAGAGGUACGAAGGCGAUCAGAUACCGCCCUAGUUCUAACCAUAAACGAUGCCAGCCAGCGAUCCGCCGUUGUUCGUUUUUAGACUCGGCGGGCAGCUUUCGGGAAACCAAAGCUUUUAGGUUCCGGGGGAAGUAUGGUUGCAA
rnacentral:rRNA from 1 species